GACACAAACUUGAAGUAGAGUAGGUUAGUAGUAUCGGCUGGCUCUACUAAUCUACUCUACUUCAAGUUUGUGCCC
rfam:Haemonchus contortus, ISE/inbred ISE, WGS project CAVP01000000 data, contig: Hcontortus_25279